rnacentral:misc_RNA from 1 species
CUGAGGUGGCACUCCAGGCCAUUGAACCCCCUAACCAUUGCUUCGACGCGAUCCACAGCUGCCUCGCUGCCCCCGUGGCGGGUGAGGCAACUGCCCGUACCGAGCGGCACAAACUAUUCAUACAUUGUCCUCUCUGAGUACUUAUAAAUAAGUCA